rnacentral:rRNA from 1 species
ACUCCUACGGGAGGCAGCAGUGGGAAUAUUGCACAAUGGGCGCAAGCCUGAUGCAGCCAUGCCGCGUGUAUGAAGAAGGCCUUCGGGUUGUAAAGUACUUUCAGCAGUGAGGAAGGUGGAGUCGUUAAUAGCGGCCUCAUUUGACGUUAGCUGCAGAAGAAGCACCGGCUAACUCCGUGCCAGCAGCCGCGGUAAUACGGAGGGUGCAAGCGUUGUCCGGAUUUAUUGGGUUUAAAGGGUGCGUAGGCGGGCUAUUAAGUCAGUGGUGAAAUCCAGCAGCUUAACUGUUGAUGUGCCAUUGAUACUGGUAGUCUUGAGUACAGAUGAGGUAGGCGGAAUUGACAGUGUAGCGGUGAAAUGCAUAGAUAUUGUCAAGAACUCCGAUAGCGAAGGCAGCUUACUGGGCUGUAACUGACGCUGAUGCACGAAAGUGUGGGGAUCAAACAGGAUUAGAUACCCUGGUAGGCUCUG